rnacentral:rRNA from 1 species
GUGAGGAAUAUUGGUCAAUGGGCGGAAGCCUGAACCAGCCAAGUAGCGUGCAGGACGACGGCCCUAUGGGUUGUAAACUGCUUUUGAAGGGGAAUAAGGUGCGCCCUGCGGGGUGCAUUGCAGGUACCCUUGGAAUAAGGACCGGCUAAUUCCGUGCCAGCAGCCGCGGUAAUACGGAAGGUCCAGGCGUUAUCCGGAUUUAUUGGGUUUAAAGGGAGCGUAGGCCGCCCCACAAGCGUGCUGUGAAAUGCAGGUGCCCAACAUCUGCACUGCAGCGCGAACUGUAGGGCUUGAGUGCGCACAACGCAGGCGGAAUUCGUGGUGUAGCGGUGAAAUGCUUAGAUAUCACGAAGAACCCCGAUUGCGAAGGCAGCUUGCGGGAGCGCUACUGACGCUGAAGCUCGAAAGUGCGGGAAUCAAACAGGAUUAGAAACCCCUGUAGUCC